rnacentral:lncRNA from 1 species
CGCUUUUGCAAAGAACAUGUUGGUGGAAACAUGUUCCACAUGUCAGUGGUUACCCUGAUUCUUUGAAUUUAAUGGUGGGGCUGGCAAAGAAAGCUGGAGCAUUUGGGAAGCCUGAAGCCUGCCCUUCCUGGCAGCAUCAGAAAGCAAGGGGAGAUGUUGGUGUACAGGCAAAAGUCAGCUCUCAACACAGGUGAUGGAGGACUGUGUAUGUAGCCAGGGAUAAAGAAUCCAGGAGGGGCCUGAAGAUGGGUGGAACCAAUGAAAUGAAUCAUCCCAGGUGUAUCAUCUCUUGUUUGGAAAUAUCCUAGCCCAUUCCUACCUUCCUUUUGUUUAAACCACCUCCUUUUCUGAAUGGCUGUGCCUUUUCAUUCUUGUCUUCUGAUCAUGCACGGACUCCGGCUCCCAGCUUGACCUGAGCGUUUGCAGGAAGCACACUAAGGUUUGGGGCUCUCUAGAGACACGGUUUUGACUCCAGGGCUGGAGGAAACAUCACUACCAGAAGUGGAUGUAUACUUCGAGGAGGAAGGUCUUGGAUUUCCAGGGAGUAGGCGGUCAUCUGUGCCGCAGACUCUAAGCCUGGUGCUUGAUGGGAAUGUGGGGACAGAUAACGCCCAAGGAAAUUACAGGAGUAAGAGGGUUAUCUGGAGCAGGAAAACGUGCCAGAACCUUUCUCAAGAGCCUCCUGAAGACUUCAGGACUCUGGACAGGCCACCUGCUGAAGGACACUGACCCCAGCAGCGGUGUCUCCACCAAGAAAGGAACAGUGAGCAAUGAACAGCACCGAUUCCUACACUGAGCCUCUGUGACCUGUGGACUUUGUUUCAAAACAGCUUGUGUGGGCUUCCUUUUGUCCAUAAAAGCUUCCCCUUUGUCCCGGCCCCCUUGCUAGGACUGUGAUCAUCGUAGAAUGCACAUCCCAAGUUGUGGCUCCCUCCACUAUUUCCAAAUAAACUUUC